rnacentral:tRNA from 1 species
GGAAGGGCCAUAGCUUAGUGGUAGAGCAUCUGCUUUGCAUGCAGAAGGUCCCAGGUUCAAUCCCCGGCCUCUCCA